rnacentral:rRNA from 1 species
GUGCCAGCCGCCGCGGUAACACGGGGGGAGCAAGCGUUGUUCGGAAUUACUGGGCGUAAAGGGCGUGUAGGCGGUCAGGUAAGUGGGAUGUGAAAUGCCCCGGCUCACCCGGGGAUCUGCAUCCCAAACUGCGUGACUUGAGUAUGGGAGAGGAUGAGGGAAUUCCUGGUGUAGCGGUGAAAUGCGUAGAUAUCAGGAGGAACACCGGUGGCGAAGGCGCUCAUCUGGCCCAAUACUGACGCUGAGGCGCGAAAGCUAGGGGAGCAAACGGGAUUAGAAACCCGUGUAGUCC